rnacentral:lncRNA from 12 species
CAAAAUUCACCCAGGAUUUACUGACGAUUAACCCAAAAAUCACCCGAAAUUUACCCCAAAACUUGCACAAAGUUAACCCAGAAUUUACCCAGGAUUAAUCCAAAAAUCAUCCAAAAGUCACACAAAAUUGACCCAAAAUUAACACAAAAAUCGAACAAAAUUUACCCAAAAUCAACCCAGUUUACAUCAAAACUUAGCCCAAAAUUCGCCCAAAAACUCACCCAAAAUACAUCAGAAUUAACCCAAAAUUUACCCAAAAUUAACACGAAAUUAUCACAAAAUUUGCACAAUAAUCACCCAAAAUUAACACAAAAUUCACCCAAAGUUCACCUAAAAAUAACCCAAAAUUAACAAAAAACCACCCAAAAUUAACACAAAAUUAUCCAAAAUUCACCCAAAAUCAACAUUUAACUCAGAAUUCACCUAAAACUUACCCAAAUUUCAACCAGAACUAUCCCAAAUUUCACCCAAAAUUCACCCAAAAUUUACCUCAAAUUUACCCAAGAUUAAUCCAAAAGUUAUCUAAAAUUCACCCAAAUUUCACCCAAAAUUAACACAAAAAUCACCCAAAAUUUAUCCAAAAUUUACACAAAAAUUACCCAAAAUUCUUCCAAAAUUCACCCAAAAUUUACUCAAAAUUAAAACAAAAUUCCCCCAAAUCCCCUCCCAGUGCUCCCAGUGCUCCCAGUACCUGCAGGUGGGGGAUGCUGUGGUCGAUGUUCAUGGUGGAGAUCCCACAGUUACCCCAAAAUCCCCCCAAAUCCCCCCAAAAUCCCAUCCCAGUGUCCCCAAAUCCCCUCCCAGUCCCUCCCAGUGCUCCCAGUACCUGCAGGUGGGGGAUGCUGUGGUCGAUGUUCAUGGUGGAGAUCCCACAGUUACCCCAAAAUCCCCCCAAAUCCCCCCAAAAUCCCAUCCCAGUGUCCCCAAAUCCCCUCCCAGUCCCUCCCAGUGCUCCCAGUACCUGCAGGUGGGGGAUGCUGUGGUCGAUGUUCAUGGUGGAGAUCCCACAGUUACCCCAAAAUCCCCCCAAAUCCCCCCAAAAUCCCAUCCCAGUGUCCCCAAAUCCCCUCCCAGUCCCUCCCAGUGCUCCCAGUACCUGCAGGUGGGGGAUGCUGUGGUCGAUGUUCAUGGUGGAGAUCCCACAGUUACCCCAAAAUCCCCCCAAAUCCCCCCAAAAUCCCAUCCCAGUGUCCCCAAAUCCCCUCCCAGUCCCUCCCAGUGCUCCCAGUACCUGCAGGUGGGGGAUGCUGUGGUCGAUGUUCAUGGUGGAGAUCCCACAGUUACCCCAAAAUCCCCCCAAAUCCCCCCAAAAUCCCAUCCCAGUGUCCCCAAAUCCCCUCCCAGUCCCUCCCAGUGCUCCCAGUACCUGCAGGUGGGGGAUGCUGUGGUCGAUGUUCAUGGUGGAGAUCCCACAGUUACCCCAAAAUCCCCCCAAAUCCCCCCAAAAUCCCAUCCCAGUGUCCCCAAAUCCCCUCCCAGUCCCUCCCAGUGCUCCCAGUACCUGCAGGUGGGGGAUGCUGUGGUCGAUGUUCAUGGUGGAGAUCCCACAGUUACCCCAAAAUCCCCCCAAAUCCCCCCAAAAUCCCAUCCCAGUGUCCCCAAAUCCCCUCCCAGUCCCUCCCAGUGCUCCCAGUGCUCCCAGUACCUGCAGGUGGGUGAUGUUGUGGUCGAUGUUCAUGGUGGAGGUCUCGCAGUUCUCGGCGAUGUAUUUGUAGUCCUGGGGACACGGCUCCUCGUCCACGCCGUUCACGCACGGGAUGGGCACGUUCUCGUGGCCACGGGCCACGUCCCUGCCGGCCAGAAAGGGGGGAAUCCCCACGGGAACGGGGGAAUCCCCACUGGAAUCCCGACAGGAACGGGGAAAUCCCCACGGGAAACCAGCCAGGAACAGGGAAAUCCCCACGGGAAUGGGGAAAUCCCCACGGGAAUGGGGAAAUCCCCACGGGAAUGGGGAAAUCCCCACGGGAAUGGGGAAAUCCCCACG